rnacentral:pre_miRNA from 1 species
AGUGGGGUAGCUGGGUCAAAUGGUGGUUCCAUUCCAAGUUUUCUAAGGAAUAUCCAUAACUUUUUCCAGAAUGGUUGCACAAAUUUGAAGUCCCAACAGCAAU